CGGCAAGGGUGCGUAACGCGUAAGUAACUUGCCCCAAGGUAAGGAAUUAACGUACGAGAAAUCGGCGCUAAUACCUCAUAAUGCAGCGGACCCGCAUGGGUAUGUUGUUAAAGGUUUACCGCCUUGGGAUAGGCUUGCGUCUGAUUAGCUAGUUGGUGUGGUAACGGCACACCAAGGCUACGAUCAGUAACUGGUCUGAGAGGAUGAUCAGUCACACUGGAACUGAGACACGGUCCAGACUCCUACGGGAGGCAGCAGUGAGGAAUAUUGGGCAAUGCACGAAAGUGUGACCCAGCAACGCCGCGUGGAGGAUGAAGGUAUUCUAUAUCGUAAACUCCUGUGAGAGCAGACGAAAGACAGAUUAUUAAUUUGGAUGACUGUAUGCUCAGAGGAAGCCCCGGCUAACUACGUG
rnacentral:rRNA from 1 species